GACGAACGCUGGCGGCGUGCCUAAUACAUGCAAGUCGAACGCUGAAGAGAGGAGCUUGCUCUUCUUGGAUGAGUUGCGAACGGGUGAGUAACGCGUAGGUAACCUGCCUUGUAGCGGGGGAUAACUAUUGGAAACGAUAGCUAAUACCGCAUAACAAUGGAUGACACAUGUCAUUUAUUUGAAAGGGGCAAUUGCUCCACUACAAGAUGGACCUGCGUUGUAUUAGCUAGUAGGUGAGGUAAUGGCUCACCUAGGCGACGAUACAUAGCCGACCUGAGAGGGUGAUCGGCCGCACUGAGACUGAGACACGGCCCAGAGUCCUUCGGGAAGCAGCAGUAGGGAAUCUUCAGCAAUGGGGGCAACCCUGACCGCGCAACGCCGCGUGAGUGAAGAAGGUUUUCGGAUCGUAAAGCUCUGUUGUAGGUUAAGAACGGGUGUGAGAGUGGAAAGUUCACACUGUGACGGUAGCUUACCAGAAAGGGACGGCUAACUACGUG
rnacentral:rRNA from 1 species